GACGAACGCUGGCGGCGUGCCUAAUACAUGCAAGUUGAGCGAUGAAGAUUGGUGCUUGCACCAAUUUGAAGAGCAGCGAACGGGUGAGUAACGCGUGGGGAAUCUGCCUUUGAGCGGGGGACAACAUUUGGAAACGAAUGCUAAUACCGCAUAACAACUUUAAACAUAAGUUUUAAGUUUGAAAGAUGCAAUUUCAUCACUUAAAGAUGAUCCAUCGUUGUAUUAGCUAGUUGGUGAGGUAAAGGCUCACCAAGGCGAUGAUACAUAGCCGACCUGAACGGGGGAUAGGACACAUUGGGACUGAGACACGGCCCAAACUCCUACGGGAGGCAGCAGUAGGGAAUCUUCGGCAAUAGACGAAAGUCUGACCGAGAAACGCCGCGUGAGUGAAGAAGGGUUUCGGAUCGUAAAACUCGGUUGGUAGAGAAGAACGUUGGUGAGAGUGGAAAGCUCAUCAAGUGACGGUAACUACACAGAAAGGGACGGCUAACUACGUG
rnacentral:rRNA from 1 species